CCUGCACACACUGUGCCUCGUGAGUGUCAUACAAGGCAGCUUUGGGUCGGGGGCUGCCCAGGUCUGUAGAGCUCUUCCACCCAGCACAAGCCCAAGACCUUGGAAACCACUGGAGCCUGACACACCUCUCCAGGUGUUAUAUAAGAUUUAUCCCUG